CUUUUUCCGUUUUGCAGGGUUCGCGAUCGUCGGGAGGUGGACAGCGACAGCGACUUCGAAGAGGAAUCAAAUGUACUGGAUGAGGUCCAGUUGGAUGUGCCACUGCUGCCAGUCAUCCUUGAUGUCCAGGAUGCUGCUAUCAUCCUUGAGGAUGUGCCAGAUGUACCGACUAUCCUUGAGGAGGCCACUGGUAAUUGGCAGUUGAUACCGAUUAGGUUCAGCCCCCUGUACUGUGGGCCUGUUGUGAUCAGA